UACGGGGGGGGCAAGCGUUGUUCGGAAUUACUGGGCGUAAAGGGCUCGUAGGCGGCCAACUAAGUCAUACGUGAAAUCCCUCGGCUUAACCGGGGAACUGCGUCUGAUACUGGAUGGCUUGAGUUCGGGAGAGGGAUGCGGAAUUCCAGGUGUAGCGGUGAAAUGCGUAGAGAUCGGCAGGAACACCCAGGGGGAAACCAGCCGACUGGGCAUUUGCUGACGCUGAGGUGCGAGAGCGUGGGGAGCAAACAGG
rnacentral:rRNA from 1 species